rnacentral:rRNA from 2 species
CUUUUAACAACGGAUCUCUUGGCUCUCGCAUCGAUGAAGAACGCAGCGAAAUGCGAUAAGUAAUGUGAAUUGCAGAAUUCAGUGAAUCAUCGAAUCUUUGAACGCACCUUGCGCUCUCUGGUAUUCCGGGGAGCACACCUGUUCGAGUGUCAUUAA